rnacentral:rRNA from 1 species
GUGGGGAAUCUUCCGCAAUGGGCGAAAGCCUGACGGAGCAACGCCGCGUGAGUGAAGACGGCCUUCGGGUUGUAAAGCUCUGUUAUAUGGGACGAACGGGUGUAUGGUCAAUACCCAUACGCCGUGACGGUACCGUAAGAGAAAGCCACGGCUAACUACGUGCCAGCAGCCGCGGUAAUACGUAGGUGGCAAGCGUUGUCCGGAAUCAUUGGGCGUAAAGGGCGCGCAGGCGGUUCGGUAAGUCGGUCUUAAAAGUGCGGGGCUUAACCCCGUGAUGAGAUUGAAACUGCCGGACUGGAGUGUCGGAGAGGAAAGCAGAAUUCCUAGUGUAGCGGUGAAAUGCGUAGAUAUUAGGAGGAAUACCAGUGGCGAAAGCGGCUUUCUGGACGACAACUGACGCUGAGGCGCGAAAGCCAGGGGAGCAAACGGGAUUAGAUACCCCAGUAGUCC